GGAUUCCUGGCAUACGCGCCAGGCAGACAGUCCUCGAGCCGAUAAGUCUGUACCUGGAGGUUCCUCGUUACUGCUGGUGUGCACGUCCGGUCUGAUCCGGAAAGCCUGAUGCAGUGCAGGAACCCCCUCCUUGAACCAUCGGGUUCAGGGCAACUCUGCCAACGCCAUGCCGGGAAUCCA
rnacentral:other from 1 species